rnacentral:rRNA from 1 species
CAGUCGCCGCGGGAAUACAGAGGGUGCGAGCGUUAAUCGGAUUUACUGGGCGUAAAGCGUGCGUAGGCGGCUUCUUAAGUCGGAUGUGAAAUCCCUGAGCUUAACUUAGGAAUUGCAUUCGAUACUGGGAAGCUAGAGUAUGGGAGAGGAUGGUAGAAUUCCAGGUGUAGCGGUGAAAUGCGUAGAGAUCUGGAGGAAUACCGAUGGCGAAGGCAGCCAUCUGGCCUAAUACUGACGCUGAGGUACGAAAGCAUGGGGAGCGAACAGGAUUAGAUACCCGGGUAGUCCCUGUCUCUUAUAC